UACGUAGGGGGCGAGCGUUGUCCGGAUUUAUUGGGCGUAAAGAGCUCGUAGGCGGUUCGGUUAGUCGGAUGUGAAAUCUCCACGCUCAACGUGGAGGGGCCAUUCGAUACUGCCGUGACUCGAGUCCGGUAGGGGAGUGUGGAAUUCCCGGUGUAGCGGUGAAAUGCGCAGAGAUCGGGAGGAACACCCGUAGCGAAGGCGGCACUCUGGGCCGGUACUGACGCUGAGGUGCGAAAGCGUGGGGAGUAAACAGG
rnacentral:rRNA from 1 species